AGCACCUCUCCCUUCACUCUCUUUCUCCUGUUUGGCCGUGUACCAAGUUCCUGCCUGUCUUCUGUCUUCACCCGUGACUUGCCUCAAGUAGUUGGCUCCUUUCCCACCGGCUACUUUGUAACUGCGAAUAUGACAACAUGACGGUGAUUCACAGAUGCCAAAAUAUGACGAGCAGAGCAAAUCUGUGUUCCAGAUAUGAUAAGGUUGAAUUUGGUGAGAGGCCCAAGAGCCCAUGCUGAGUCUCGUCCUUCUAAAGCCCUUCACUAAGCAUUGUGUUGUUCAGUGAAUGUUCCUCCUCUGGAUUCACAUUACUACUCACUAGCACCUCAUUUGACGGUGGAUGUAGACUCAUUUGCAUGCUUAUUUCCUGUUUUAUGUUUAUGCCGACCUUCUUAAAUAAAAUAAAUCCUUUAUGAGUUCUACCUCAUUUUAUUCCCCUUUUUCACCACUUUGACCAUACUGAUUCCCCCAAAACCUGUUCUAGAAAAUGUAUUUAAUAAUGUUGAUGAUGACAAUGAUGUCUAAUGUCAAUAAUGACAUGGUAAAAAAUUUCUGUUUCAGGAAUUUUUUUUUACAUUCAAUAAAGAUACAAUACAUAGAUGAAGUAUAAUUUUAAAACAUGGUCACUUUCGGAAUUCUGACAAUCUUUGAAAAACCAAAAGAGGCAAAAUGGA
rnacentral:lncRNA from 1 species